GCCAGCAUGGUAUAAUGGGUUGAGUGUUGGACUAGGACUCUCAAGGCCAGGGUUCAAAUUCCAGUUUUGCCA